rnacentral:hammerhead_ribozyme from 1 species
AUCCAGCUGACUAGUCUCAAAUAGGACGAAACGCGCGUUCUGAAU